rnacentral:rRNA from 1 species
GACGAACGCUGGCGGCGUGCUUAACACAUGCAAGUCGAACGGAAAGGCCCUGCUUUUGUGUGGUGCUCGAGUGGCGAACGGGUGAGUAACACGUGAGUAACCUGCCCUUGACUUUGGGAUAACUUCAGGAAACUGGGGCUAAUACCGGCUAGGAGCUCCUGCUGCAUGGUGGGGGUUGGAAAGUUUCGGCGGUUGGGGAUGGACUCGGGGCUUAUCAGCUUGUUGGUGGGGUAGUGGCUUACCCAGGCUUUGACGGGUAGCCGGCCUGAGAGGGUGACCGGCCACAUUGGGACUGCGGUACGGCCCAGAGUCGUACGGGGGGCAGCAGUGGAGAAUAUUGCACAAUGGGCGGAAGCCUGAUGCAGCAACGCCGCGUGCGGGAUGACGGCCUUCGGGUGGUAAACCGCUUUCGCCUGUGACGAAGCGUGAGUGACGGUAAUGGGUAAAGAAGCACCGGCUAACUACGUG